CACGGAGUUAGCCGAUCCUUAUUCUUACGAUACCGUCAAGCUCCUACACGUAGGAGUGUUUCUUCUCGUACAAAAGCAGUUUACAAUCCAUAGGACCGUCAUCCUGCACGCGGCAUGGCUGGUUCAGGCUUGCGCCCAUUGACCAAUAUUCCUCACUGCUGCCUCCCGUAGGAGUCUGGUCCGUGUCUCAGUACCAGUGUGGGGGAUCUCCCUCUCAGGACCCCUACCCAUCGAAGUCUUGGUAAGCCGUUACCUUACCAACUAACUAAUGGGACGCAUGCUCAUCUUUCACCGUUGUGACUUUAAUAGUGCAACCAUGCGGUUGUACUAUACUAUGAGGUAUUAAUCCAAAUUUCUCUGGGCUAUCCCUCUGUGAAAGGCAGAUUGCAUACGCGUUACGCACCCGUGCGCCGGUCUCUAUAUCCGAAGACAUAUACCCCUCGACUUGCAUGUGUUAAGCCUGCCGCUAGCGUUCAUCCUGAGCCAGGAUA
rnacentral:rRNA from 1 species